AAGAUUAGCUAAUACCGCAUACGAUCUACGGAUGAAAGUGGGGGCUCGCAAGACCUCAUGCUCAUAGAGCGGCCGAUAUCUGAUUAGCUAGUUGGUGAGGUAAAGGCUCACCAAGGCAUCGAUCAGUAGCUGGUCUGAGAGGACGACCAGCCACACUGGGACUGAGACACGGCCCAGACUCCUACGGGAGGCAGCAGUGGGGAAUUUUGGACAAUGGGGGCAACCCUGAUCCAGCAAUGCCGCGUGAGUGAAGAAGGCCUUCGGGUUGUAAAGCUCUUUUGUCAGGGAAGAAACGGGAGGUCCUAAUACGAUGUCCUAAUGACGGUACCUGAAGAAUAAGCACCGGCUAACUACGUGCCAGCAGCCGCGGUAAUACGUAGGGUGCAAGCGUUAAUCGGAAUUACUGGGCGUAAAGCGUGCGCAGGCGGUUAUGUAAGACAGGUGUGAAAUCCCCGGGCUUAACCUGGGAAUGGCAUUUGUGACUGCAUAGCUAGAGUGUGUCAGAGGGGGGUAGAAUUCCACGUGUAGCAGUGAAAUGCGUAGAGAUGUGGAG
rnacentral:rRNA from 1 species